CAUCACCUGGCAGCUGCUCAGUUUUAGCCUGUGUGACUGCUCCCAAGGCAGGCUCACUGGGCUGCACUGUCGCCUCACGAACUCAUUGCACGAGUUCAUGAUCGGUUGCAUGAACGGCUGCUGUUGGCUUUGCCCAUAGGUGCAAGCAUCAAACUGUGCUGAGGCGCUGCUCGCUGCGAGGGCGAGGAGAGAGAGGAUGACAAAGAUCUUUAUAGCUAUGAGAUUGAUGUUAGAGAACUCUUAUACCGUUUUGAUGUUUGUGAUUUUUCCAUAAGGAUAAGGAGCAUCUUUGAUAUAGUUCAUUUGUAUUUAUAGUGGGGAUAGCAUGAUCUCUACGCUCAAGACAUCGGUUGCUUUUGGUUUUGUGCAAUUUGUGUUGUUUCUUGUGUGCAUCUUGGGGUUGCUUGUAUUCAUAUGCCUUUUAAUAUGAUCAUUUGGGAUGUUGUGCUAGGUGGAGGUACACAUACUUGGACAUGCCAUCGUCAAAGGUACUUUAGUAACUAUCUCAUCUUAUUGUUAUCAGUUUUUGAUUAUAAAUAUGAGUCAUUACUCACUUUACAUGUCAUAUUUUUUUAUCUAGAUACAUUGUUUUGUGAAAUGACGUUUUGUAACGUUAGGUAGGUAGUGUUUAACUUCAGAAUACACAUAUCUGUUGUACACUCAAAAGAUUUUCUGACACUUAAGUAUGGAUCAACUCCAAGCUUUAGUUUGUCAUUUUGGGCUUUGGAACACGAGAUGACAUUCUUCCUUACUUCUGUAGCAAUACACCAGCCUUAUAAAAACGGAUUUGACCAAAAAGUUUUUGAAACUCCAAGCUCAUGCCACUAUCAGAUUUUGAUCCUUACAAACGAAGUUACUUCAGUUCCACCUAUUUGUAAUAUUAUUUAUAAAUUGAAGAUAUGUAUGUCCACAACGUGACACAAAAUACAAAUUCAAUUUCACAAAAGCAUUGCCCCCAUAAUAAACCUUUUGAUAUGUAAAGUGGAAUUGAUGAGUCAUAAACUAAAUCGGUUCCUCAGAAAGGACAUAACGCACACACUACAGCAGAACAAGCUAGCAGUGACGGGCUCAAACCCUCUUCUGUGACGGAUAGACUCCCUCGUCACAGAUCAAUGGUCACUGAUGACUUAACUCACCUUUGACGGGUGUAGGUCCGUCAGAGGUGACAAACACCUUUGACGGGUUGUGUCAUGUGACCCGUCACAGAUGAGAAAAAUCACCCAAAAAAAAAAGGAAAAAAGAGCCACAACCACAGCUCAACACCCGUCACUGAUGUAGAUUUCGAUAAAAAAAAACAAAAAAAAAGUGCUUCUGGGUAGUUGCCAUCGCAUUCAUCACACACAACAUUUCAUCACACAGAAAAGUCUUCACGAACAUUUCAUCACACAUAAAACAGCCAUGGCAAGCAAGCAAUUCAUCAAUCACCUGACGAGCAACAAAAACGAAGGGAAUAAAUGGUUGUGGGUUUUGCCGGGCAGGGCUUCUUCAUACCACGGUGGGCUUGAACUCCUUGGCGCACUAGACCUUCUUGAGCUCGGCCUGGAGGCGACCUUGCUCCUCCUCCUUGCGGAUGACCUCGUCCCUAUUACUGCUCCUCGACGCCGCCCUCUUCGCCUUCUGCACCCGGAAGCAGCCGACGGGGGAAUCUGCAGUUCUGCACUCGUCAGUUGGGGACGCAGCCGGCGGACGGAGGAGACGACGCCCGGUGGCCGGAUCCGCGUCCCCUGACCUUGUGGAGGACGGAUCUAGCGCCAGGCGGUCGGAGGUGGCGCCCGUCAGUUGGGGGAUGGAGGUGGCCCCCGGCGGUCGGGGAUGGAGGCCGCGGCGCCGCCGUUCACCUCCUCCUCGCCUCCUCACCGCUGCGUCGAGCCGUCGCACCGCAGCACCGCCGCGCGCCGUUGAGAACUCCACGCCGCUGCCACUUCAAGAAAAACCGGAUUGAGAAAUAAGAGAAGGGAGAGGAGGGGAGAAAGAAGGGGGAGGAGGAUGGGGGUACCACCGAUUUUGUAGUCCCUGCGUGUAGUCUGGGGGCUAUUAUAGCCUGAUUUAUGUAGGGACAAUCGGAAAAUUUAAAAUAGCUAGCCUUCGUCACAUGCCCUCGUUUGACUACACUAGUCAAUCCAACUGUGAAAGAAAUUUGGGUACGUGGCCCGCACCGUAGUUAACCCAGCUUACCGCGAUUAAAGAUUCUAGACUAGGCAUCAAGCAGUGCUGCACAUGCUAUAUAUUUUAAUUUAUCAAUAUCAACUUGGUAUUUAUUAAUUUAAAGAUUAGAAUCAUUAUAUUAUAUUUCAGAUUAGAAACUGAGCACUUUACUGUAUUUAUGUUUGAAAUUAUUAAAUCAUCAUAAAAACGAUUUGAGACUCUAGAUCAAGUACAACGCAUUAUUAAUUAAUUACUUUUUAGUAAUUCUAAAUUUAAGAAUGAUUAAAUUAUAAAAAUAGAAUUACGGCUUCAAACCUUAUUUGCUAAUUUUUAAUUUUAGAACUAUUAAAUCGUUUAAACUAAGAUUGAGACUCUAGAGCAAGUGCAAUUUGUUGUUAGUUUAUUAAUUCUGAAUUUUAUAAUUAUUGAGUCAUAGAAAAAAAAUCCAAACCUGGUAUAACUGCAUAUUUAUUCAUUCCAAUGGAUAAGUCUAUAUAUUGUGUGAUAGAAGAUCUUGACUGUGGACACAUUUGAUUUCAUCAUUUUUGUAUUAACGUUAUUUCUAGCUCUUUUGAUUAGUGAUAAUUUCUAGCUUUCUACCUAUGGUAGGAUUAAAGUGGGGUUUCUAGUAUGACCCUCAAUUAAUAUAUAAAGAUUGACUGUAGUAUGACUUUAUCACUCUAUUAAUAUGAAUGCUAAAUUUAAUCUUCAAGUGAAAUUGUGAAGGGUAAAGGUAUUUUGAUAAUGUUAUUUCAUGGGGUUAGACAAGUUGAUUGGCAGAGUGACGGUCGCAAGAAGAAGAAGUAUCAACUAGCUAAGAGGGAUAUAAUGUGCCGCCAAAAAGAUCGGGGGGGGGGGGGUUAGGAAUUCAUGAUCUGCAAGUAAAGGAUAAUGUGUUAGUUAGUAAAUGGCUUCAUAAGUUGCUUACAACUAGUGGUAUGUGGCAACAAAUGAUACGCAAUAAAUAUUUGGGAUUUUAGCAUUUAUCACAAGCCCUAUUGAAAGAUGGGGAUUCACAUUUUUGGGCUAGCUUUAUGAAGGCCAAAUAUGAUUUUUCUCCAAUGUGGGUCCUUCAUAAUUAAAUAUGGCUCUCAAAUUAGAAUUUGGGAAGACAAAUGGUUAGGCACUGCAACCUUGCGGGAUCAAUAUCCCUUCCUAUAUAUAAUAUUGUUAGGCAUAAAUAAUCAACCAUUUUAGAGGUCUUCCAAACAUACCCAUGGGCUUGAUUCGCUCAAAAUUAGUGGCGUGGAGCAACUUGUUACCCCGUAUCGCUAAUAUUAUGUUAACAUAGGAUCAAGUUGAUUUUCACUGGAGUCUCUCCCCAAAUGGCAAGUUCUCCAUUAAAUCUUUCUAUCUAGCUCUGGUUCAUAAUGGUGUCCCAAAUAUAAAUUAGCGAGGUAAUAAGAAAUGUUGUUUUUUGUCACAAAGAGAAGGCAAUUAAACAUUUAUUCUUCCAAUGCCAUUUUGCUCAUCCAUUGUGGUCUAUUAUUCAUAUAGCUUCAAACAUAUGUCCACCGCGUAGUGUUUCACGUUUGUUUGGGAGUUGGUUGUUGCCACUUUCCAAAGAUAUGAGACCUCAAGUCCUGCUAGGAGCGGCCACCAUGUGUUCAGGGGCGGAUCCAUGAACAAAAAAUUGGAGGGGCUUAAUUAAACAGUUUCUUCAACCUCCAGCCAUCUAGGGACCUUUAGUUUAUCAUUCAUAGUGAAAAAAUUGAAGGGGGUGCUCCGGGAGGUAUCUAUGGGUCUUGUGGGUGUAGGGGGGACUCGAGCCCCCCCUGCACCCACGUUGGAUCCGCCCCUGCAUGUGUUGGUCCCUAUGGUUAUGCAUGAAUGAUGUGGUUUUUACAAGAAAAAUAUUUAUUCUACCAGGUUGAAAAGGGAAAGAUAAUAUUAUACCACAUGAAAAAUACUAGUUUUCACGGUUGAGUGGGGUACAUGCUUUAAUACCUUUUUUUUUCUUUUUGUGCGACUACUAUACAUAAGAAUGAAUAGAAUUCCAAAGCAUAAGGCUAUCGACCGCAGCAAGUUGAAAACAUAAAGAUAAUAUUAUACCACCCUGGAAAUACUAGUUUAUGCAGUUGAGUGGGUCACACGUUUUAAUACCUCUUUCUUUUUAUGCGGCUACUAUAGAUAUGAAUCAUAGAGAAUUCCAACAUGUGAGACUAUCGACCGCUACCAAGUUGAAAAGAGAAAAGUAAUAUAUAAUACGAAAAAUACAUGUUUGUGUGGUUGAGUGGGGACACGGUUUAAUACCUUUUUCUUUUUACGCGACUACUAGAGAUAAGAAUGAUAGAGAAUUCCAACCUGUGAGGUUACCGACCGCUACCAGAUUAAAAAGAGAAAUAUAAUAUACAACACAGAGUUUGCAUGGUUGAGUGGGGGCACAUGCUUAAAUACUUUUUUUUCUUUUUACGCAACUACUGGAGAUGCAUAUUGUCGAAGAAUUCCAACGUCUGAGGCAACCAACCGCUACCAGGUUGAAAAGGAAAAGAGGAUAAGAACAAGUAAAAUACGAAUUUGCGCAGUUAAGUGGGUCACAGACAUUAAUACUUUUUUCUUUUUGCGUGGCUAUUGAAGAGAGUAACAAAAUGUGAAAGAAUUCCAACGUGUGAGGCUACUGAUCACUACCAGGUUAAAAAGGGGAAGAGGAUAUGCAACAAGCAAAAUACUAAUUUUCAUGCAUUUUUUCGCGACUACUGGAGAUACAAAAUGUCAGAGAGAUACAUAAUGUUGGAGAAUUCCAAUAUGAGAGGCUACCAACCACUACUUGGUUGAAAAGGAAACGAGGAUAUACAACACGGAAAAUACUAAAUGUGUGGUUGCAUGGUAUAAAUGUUUUAAUAUUUUUAUCAUCUGCUUAUGUAACAUGGAUUAUUGUUACGAUUGUGCACCCUGUGCGGCAUUGGGCUUAGAGAUGCCAGCUCAUUGUUUUUAAAGUGAUUUUGAAUAUAAAUAUAUAUAUUUGAACAAAUUCACAUUAUUUAGGUUUUUCAACAUAAAGUUUUCUUGCAAAUUAUUGUUUUUUAAAUUGCUAAAAUAAUAUCGCAAGCUUUUGGAUAAAAAACUUUCUAAUGUAUCUGUAGUAUAAAUUUAGUGUAACUACAUUGUAACUAUAGUAUAAUUACACUAAUGUUAACUUAGAUAUGAAUUUACAUGAUUUUUAUAAUCUGAUACAAGUUAUAAUGUAGUUAUAUUUGAAAGUUUUCCACUCAAAAAACUUGCGGCAGUUUUUCCAUAUCGUCAUAAAAUUUCCCAUUUUUAUAUGAGGGUCACAAAAAGUGUUUUUUCAAUUUUCUAUAUAAAUAUUUUAUCUUGCUAUAAAUAUUUUUAAGAGGAAACUGUUUAAUGGACAAAUUUGCUAAAGGGGGACUUCUUCUAUGUUUAUAGUGAGUUUUUUUCUAAUAACUCUUGCAGUAAGUUUCUUCUAAAAAAGUUUCUAUAAAAAGUUUUUGGGUAAUCCUUUUGUAUGAAAUUUCUGCGUUGGAAACUUAUACGUAAGUCACUAUCUAGUGCUUUGCAUGGAGAUAGCUAGUUAGCACUUUUGACAUGUGUAUAACUUGUGCACAUAUCACUACGCACACAUAUACGAAUGUUGCCUACACACAAUUAAAGAGAUAGAGAUCAACAUUAUAUCUCUGAUCUUACUGAAUUCCAAUUAAACAUAACUUUGAGUAUCUCAUCUUUUCAUUUCUACAAGAUCAGAUUAAUAUAUUAUAUUGAUUUGCUUCUCUUUCUUAGUAUGAAAACAAAAAAGAAUAAUAUGAUGAAAUUUGUAUGUACAGUAAAACCGAAAAUUAAUGCAGCCACUGGAUACCCACAAUGCCUGUUUGCUUCAACAAUUGGACAUGUUAUAAUUUUCAUUUAUUCAUACGAACAGCCAAAGACUAUUCCAAAUUUUAUUACAUGACACACACGAUGAUGUGUGACACUUUAUUUAUCCAACUAUAUAUAUAUGAUGGUACACACUACCAAGAACCGCAAUGACCAGUAGCAACUUUGCAUGGAGUGCUGCAGUACCUAGGGUAGACUCCACACAUGGAGGGCAAAUUGAGAGCCACCUGGGCCUGGGCCUGAGCUUGGGGCUCGCCAACAAAGCCAGCAUCAAACUGCACUUGCUGCAUGAUAGACUGCACCAUGGUGCAAAUAGCCUGGCAAUGAUAUUGUUGCGCCAUCAACCUCAUCUGCUGACAGCAUUGCUGCCGCAUCACCUGGCAGCUGCUCAGUUGUAGCCUGCGUGACUGCUCCCAAGGUAGGCUCAUCGGGCUGCACUGUUGCCUCACGAACUCAUUGCACGGGUUCAUGAUCGGUUGCAUAAACGGCUGCUGCUGGCAUUGCCCAUAGGUGCAAGCAUCAAACUGUGCCGAGGCGCUGCUCGCUGCGAGGGCGAGGAGAGAGAGGAUGACAAAGAUCUUCAUGGCUAUGUGAUGGAUGCUAGAGAACUCUUAUAACGUUUUGAUGUUUGUGAUUUUUCAGUAAGGGUGAGGAGCAUCUUGAUAUGGUGCAUUUGUAUUUAUAGUGGGAAUAGCAUGAUCUCUAUGCUCAAGGCAUCGGUUGCUUUUGGUUUUGUGCAAUUUGUGUUGUUUCUUGUGUGCAUCAUCGGCUGCUUGUAUUUGUAUGCCUUUUAUGAUGAUCACUUGGGAUAUUGUGCUAGGUGGAGCUACACAUACUUGGACAUGCCAUUUCAAAGGUACUUUACU
rnacentral:lncRNA from 1 species